rnacentral:rRNA from 1 species
CUACGUGCCAGCAGCCGCGGUAAUACGUAGGGUGCGAGCGUUAAUCGGAAUUACUGGGCGUAAAGCGGGCGCAGACGGUUACUUAAGCAGGAUGUGAAAUCCCCGGGCUCAACCUGGGAACUGCGUUCUGAACUGGGUGACUAGAGUGUGUCAGAGGGAGGUAGAAUUCCACGUGUAGCAGUGAAAUGCGUAGAGAUGUGGAGGAAUACCGAUGGCGAAGGCAGCCUCCUGGGAUAACACUGACGUUCAUGCCCGAAAGCGUGGGUAGCAAACAGGAUUAGAUACCCUGGUAGUCCACGCCCUAAACGAUGUCGAUUAGCUGUUGGGCAGCAUGACUGCUUAGUAGCGAAGCUAACGCGUGAAAUCGACCGCCUGGGGAGUACGGUCGCAAGAUUAAAACUCAAAGGAAUUGACGGGGACCCGCACAAGCGGUGGAUGAUGUGGAUUAAUUCGAUGCAACGCGAAGAACCUUACCUGGUUUUGACAU